GACUUAGUUGUUAUUGUUGUUGUAGCCAACUCACACAAUCACUCAACACUGCCCUGUCACAAAGGCAAUCAAAGACAAGCACCCAAAAUCCUGAUGCAGAAAAGAAGAAAGAAGAAUCCUACAAGAUCCACAAUAUAAAUUGACUUGUAACAAUAAUUCAACCUCUUGUACAAAAUUCCAGCUUGUACACUAGAUUUUGUCAUGGCUAUUUUCUUAAUUAGCAAUUGUACAAUACAAAUGAUUCAGUUAUGAAAAUUUAUUUUGGCUUUCAGAAAAUACGACUAUUAAGCCUUUUUUUCCCCUCCAGCCUGUCAUCACACUACGCUAAAACUGGGUUGUGGGCGUAAUUUACAAUCAAUAAGCUGUUUUUAUCAUUACUUUCCUAUUAUCUGAAAUAUAUGGCAAAAUAAUUCCAUCCAUUCCUUACAUAUGAUAACUAUUUCAACUGCCCAAAAUAAUUGUCACCGCAUUAUACUGAUAUAUAGCAAUUUUGCUCCAUGCUGUUAGACACUAAAAUAGUGAGACACAUGAUACCAAAUGCAUAGACAAAACUUGCAUUAUACCACAUUGUACAACUGCAAUCAGGCUGCCCAUAACUCAAAGGAACAACUUUCAUCAAUUCCAAACCAAACUACUAAUCCACGUUGAACAUUUCUAUCUAUCUUGCUCAAAAAAAAUGUACCAUGGACUCCAAAAUUAUGGAAUGACAUUUAAACAAAACAAAAAUGCGAGGAAAAAAGGAGAACCAAUCAAAAUGGCUUUUCAGACUGCAAUCAAGAUGAGCAACAGUAGUGCUCAUGGCAUCAGCAGAUAUUUGUAGGACUUCUAAGUUCUAAUCAUUUCAGAAUCAAAAGCAAUACUUCCAAAAUGCUUUAAGAACUUCAUACCACAUAUUGGAAAUAUUCCUAUA
rnacentral:misc_RNA from 1 species